rnacentral:rRNA from 1 species
CAGUAGCCGCGGGAAUACAGAGGAUGCAAGCGUUAUCCGGAAUGAUUGGGCGUAAAGCGUCUGUAGGUGGCUUUUCAAGUCCGCCAUCAAAUCCCAAGGCUCAACCCUGGACAGGCGGUGGAAGAUACCAAGCUGGAGUACGGUAGGGGCAGAGGGAAUUUCCGGUGGAGCGGUGAAAUGCGUUGAGAUUGGAAAGAACACCAACGGUGAAAGCACUCUGCUGGGCCGACACUGACACUGAGAGACGAAAGCUAGGGGAGCAAAUGGGAUUAGAUACCCGUGUAGUCCCUGUCUCUUAUAC